AUACUUACCUGGACGGGGUCAAUGGGCGAGCAAGAAGGCUUGUGGCCUAGGUUGGUGACCUCCAUUGCACUUUGGAGGUGUGCCUGCCUAAGGUCGGCCCAAGUGGCCUGCUUACGUCAUAAUUUGUGGCAGCGGGGGCCUUCGUUCGCGUGGCCCCUA
rnacentral:snRNA from 1 species